rnacentral:rRNA from 1 species
ACUCAAAGGAAUAGACGGGGACCCGCACAAGCAGAGGAUGAUGUGGUUUAAUAUGACGCUACGCGUAGAACCUUACCCAGGCUUGACAUCCUUGGAAUCCGGUGGAAACACUGGAGUGCCUUCGGGAGCCAAGUGACAGGUGCUGCAUGGCCGUCGUCAGCUCGUGUCGUGAGAUGUUGGGUUAAGUCCCGCAACGAGCGCAACCCUUAUCGUAUGUUGUAUUUUUCAUGCGAGACUGCCCGGGCCAACCGGGAGGAAGGUGGGGAUGAAGUCAGGUCGGCAUGGCCCUUACGCCUGGGGCCACACACGUCAUACAAUGGCCGGUACAACGCGCCGCGAACCCGCGAGGGGGAGCUAAUCGCACCAAAACCGGUCUCAGUUCGGAUUGGAGGCUGCAACUCGCCUCCAUGAAGUCGGAUUUGCUAGUAAACGUGGGUCAGCACACCGCGUUGAAUACGUUCCCGGGUCUUGCACACACCGCCCGU